rnacentral:rRNA from 1 species
CACUUUAACACUGAGGCGUGACGACGAGGCACUACGGUGCUGAAGCAACAAAUGCCCUGCUUCCAGGAAAAGCCUCUAAGCAUCAGGUAACAUCAAAUCGUACCCCAAACCGACACAGGUGGUCAGGUAGAGAAUACCAAGGCGCUUGAGAGAACUCGGGUGAAGGAACUAGGCAAAAUGGUGCCGUAACUUCGGGAGAAGGCACGCUGACACGUAGGUGAAGUGAUUUACUCAUGGAGCUGAAGUCAGUCGAAGAUACCAGCUGGCUGCAACUGUUUAUUAAAAACACAGCACUGUGCAAACACGAAAGUGGACGUAUACGGUGUGACGCCUGCCCGGUGCCGGAAGGUUAAUUGAUGGGGUCAGCGCAAGCGAAGCUCCUGAUCGAAG